rnacentral:rRNA from 1 species
UACGGAGGGAGCUAGCGUUGUUCGGAAUUACUGGGCGUAAAGCGCACGUAGGCGGCUAUUCAAGUCAGAGGUGAAAGCCCGGGGCUCAACCCCGGAACUGCCUUUGAAACUAGAUAGCUAGAAUCUUGGAGAGGUCAGUGGAAUUCCGAGUGUAGAGGUGAAAUUCGUAGAUAUUCGGAAGAACACCAGUGGCGAAGGCGACUGACUGGACAUGUAUUGACGCUGAGGUGCGAAAGCGUGGGGAGCAAACAGG